CCUGUCUUCCUGGCACGCUGCCACUAGGUACAGCCUGUCUUCCUGGCACGCUGCCACUACGUACAGCCUGUCUUCCUGGUACGCUGCCACUACGUACAGCCUGUCUUCCUGGCACAACACCCCACUACGUACAGCCUGUCUUCCUGGUACGCUGCCACUACGUACAGCCUGUCUUCCCGGUACGCUGCCACUACGUACAGCCUGUCUUCCCGGCACGCUGCCACUACGUACAGCCUGUCU